rnacentral:ncRNA from 30 species
AUCACAUUGCCAGGGAUUACC